CACGUAGGGCGCAAGCGUUGUCCGGAAUUAUUGGGCGUAAAGAGCUCGUAGGCGGUCUGUUACGUUUGCUGUGAAAACCCUGGGCUUAACCCUGGGCUUGCAGUGGAUACGGGCAGACUAGAGGCAGGUAGGGGAGAAUGGAAUUCCCGGUGUAGCGGUGAAAUGCGCAGAUAUCGGGAGGAACACCAAUGGCGAAGGCAGCUCGCUGGGACGGUACUGACGCUGAGGCGCGAAAGCGUGGGGAGCAAACAGG
rnacentral:rRNA from 1 species